rnacentral:rRNA from 1 species
AGUUGCCUACGGGGCGCAGCAGUGAGGAAUAUUGGUCAAUGGCCGGAAGGCUGAACCAGCCACGUCGCGUGAGGGACGACUGCCCUAUGGGUUGUAAACCUCUUUUAUAAGGGAAGAAUAAAUGCUACGUGUAGCAUGAUGCCUGUACCUUAUGAAUAAGCAUCGGCUAACUCCGUGCCAGCAGCCGCGGUAAUACGGAGGAUGCGAGCGUUAUCCGGAUUUAUUGGGUUUAAAGGGUGCGCAGGCGGCCCGGCAAGCCGGCGGUCAAAU